rnacentral:rRNA from 1 species
UACGGAGGGUGCGAGCGUUGUCCGGAAUCACUGGGCGUAAAGGGCGCGUAGGUGGCGCGGGCAGUCAACGGUGAAAGUUCGGGGCUCAACCCUGAAUCGGCCGUCGAUACUCCCGGGCUUGAGCACUGUAGAGGCAGAUGGAAUUCCGGGGUGUAGCGGUGGAAUGCGCAGAUAUCAGGAGGAACACCGGUGGCGAAGGCGGGUCUCUGGGCAGUGAACUGACGCUGAGGAGCGAAAGCGUGGGGAGCGAACAGG